ACCCACAGCAGGUGGAGGUCCCCAGGCUAGGGGUCGCAUCGGAGCUACAGCUGCCGGCCUGCACCACAGCCACAGCAACGUGGGAUCCAAGCCUUGUCUGCGACUUACACCACAGCUCAUAGCAACGCCGGAUCCCUGACCCACUGAGCAAAGCCAGGGAUCAAACCUGCAACCUCAUGGAUCCUAGUCGGGUUCGUUUCUGCUGUGCCACAACAGAAACUCCUCACAUCAAGAUUUUCUGAAGGAACCUCUGAGGGGCCACCAGGCAGUGGCCAGUGCAAGGGGAGGGGCUGAUGAGGUCCUAGAAAUCAAGGGCAGAGGGAUGGGGAGCUUGGUACCCCGGGGUAGGGGGGGAUGGCAUUCCCUAAGGAGGCCAGGGUGGGCCCUGGAGGAGGGGCCUCUACAACAUCUGCUUUGCUUCUGAGGAAUUGGUUAAAGAGAAAGUAGAGAAAAAAGAGCAAAGCAUUCGUGGCCUGGUUGGGAGACUUGGGGGAAAUCAUUGGGCACCCACACCCAAAAUGGUGCAUUAAGAUGCGAAGUCAAGGGGGUUCCCGUUGUGGCUCAGGGGGUUACGAACCUGACUAGAAUGCAUGAGGAUUGGGUUCCAUCCCUGGCCUUGCUCAGUGGAUUAAGGGUCUGGCAUUGCCAUGAGCUGUGGUGUAGGUCACAGAUGUGGCUCAGAUCAAGUGUGGCCAUGGCUGUGGUGUAGGCUGGCAGCUAUGGCUCCAAUUCAAUCCUUGGCUGGGAACUUCCAUAUGCUGCAGGUGCGGCUCUAAAAAAACAAAAAAACAAAAAAAAAAAUGUGAUGUUAAAAUGAGAUUUUGGCACAUAAAAUUUUGGCCUUAAUGUGGAGGGUUCUUACACAUCAAAUAAAAAGAAAACAUACCUCAUUGAAAAUGGGCAAAUAGUAUGCAUGAGCUAUUGAUGAAAGAGCUUCAUUUGAUAAAAAAUCAUGUAAAAGCUUAAACUUCAUUUAUAAUCAAAGAAAUAAAAACUAAAAUCAGAUAUAUGUCUGUCAUAAAACUGGUUACAAUCAUGAAAAAGUAAGAAUAAUCUGCUUACCUCUAGAGCACAACCAAAAAUUGUAAUGAAAUAUUAUGUAUCCAUUAAUUGUGAUGUUACGAAAAGUAUUUACUCACAGGAAAAUGUUUAAACUAUAUUAAGUUUAAAAAGCAGAUUCCAAAACAGUCAGGGAGGCACAUGUUCCCUUCCUCUAAACACGGGCAAGUCCACACAUACGUCACAAAAGUUAUGGAAGUUAUGGAAGACUAAACACCACAAGUCACAAUACUGAGCUAUUCCUCACUGGUGGAGUUACGAUUUUUAUUUUUUCUGGGUGUUUGUCUAUAUAUUUUGUACUUUUCUACAAUGAUCCCGCGCUGCUUUUGUAAUGAACAAACAAACAAACAAACCUCUUGGCGACUUUGAAAGAGUCCUCGGCAGAGGAAACAGAAGACUUAAGAAUCACUGCUUUCUUGGAGUUCCUGUCAUGGCGCAGUGGAAAUGAAUCAGACUAGCAUCCACGAGGACGCAGGUUCGAUCCCUGGCCUCGCUCAGUGGAACAUUAAAAUAAAAGCAAGGAGUUCUCAUUGUGGAUCAGCGAGUUAAGGAUCCAGCAUCGUCUCUGUGAGGAUGAGGGUUUGAUCCCUAGCCUCGCUCAGUGGUUUCAGGAUCCAGUGUUGCUGUGGCUGUGGCGUGGGCCACCGCUGCAGCUGCGAUUCAACGCCUGGCUCUGGGAACUUCCAUAUACCGCAGGUAUGGCCAUUGAAUAAGUAAAAUAAAAUAAAACAAAACAAAAUAAACUCCGAAGACACUCGAUGAGAACUCCCUGGUUAGUCCUGGGCUGGGCGGUGGGAAGGAGGAGAAAGUGGCACAGAACGCAGAGGGCCCUGACCCCUUCACCUAGAGUUGUUUACUGACGUUCUGGCAAAAGGCUUGGGGGCUGAGGUGGGUAGACCAAGAUGCCACAGCUUGUCAUGUAAGGACACUGGGAGAGGCUGGGUGGCAGUGCCGGUUAGAUGGGUCCCCACCCUUCAUGAGAUGGGGGAAGCUGUGGCUUCUGGGCGGGGGUGGCAGGCACGCCAGUGAAUCAGAAGCCCCUCUUGUCCAGAACUGGUGAGCUGGCUCACAUCCCCACGUUGCUCAGCCUACUGAAGAAAGGGAUUAUUGACCCGAUGACAAGCUUUUUCAUGCUGAUCUUGUUCGGAGACUCAUUGUUUGGUUUUAUUUUAAUUUGUUAAUUUAUUUAUUUUUGGUCGCACCUGCAGCCUGCGGAAGUUCCUGAGUCAGGGAUUAAACCCGUGCCAGCAGUGACCUGAGCCAUGGCAGUGACAACACUGGAUCCACAACCCACUGAGCCACCGGGGACCUCCCUGGAGACUCGCUCUUGACUGCCCCUCCCCAAGUCCUCCAAAGAAGACUUUGCCCUUUUAUUUUUUCCUUUUGGUUCCACCUCAGAUGCCGUUCCCUCCGUUGGCCCCCUUUUCUUCUGCAGGAUGAUUUCAAUUAAUCUUCCUCUCCUUCUUCUUCAGUUUCCCUCUCCUUCUGCUCAUGUCCACCUCUCUUUGGUUCUGGGUUCAGCCAGCAUCUUCCUCUGCGCUCUCCCUGUCCCAGGCACCUGCCACUCGGAGCCACCUGAUGCCAGGGUGUCCUGGGCUAUAAAGCAGAGCUUCCCCUCUGGCUUCCUCACUAGUCCCUUCCUCAAUUAUCCAACAAGCCUUUUAAAAUCUUUCCGUACCUGAGUUUAUCUUGUGAUAUUCCUACUCCUGCCCCCCGGCCCUCCCUCCUCCUCCACGGCGCUUCCGGUUUCUCUCUGCCUUGGCUGGUGCCAACAUGCCCAGGGCUGAAAGCGCAGCUCCAGCUGGGGUUUCGCCUGGCGAACAGAGACCCAGUGGCCCCCCGCCUCCCAUCAGCCAAGGCUGGCCUUGCGGUCCGGCUCAGCUCCGCUGCCUCAGCUGCCUCCCUCCCCUUCUAGGCUCUUCGAGGCUUUUUGUGUCCAUCCCCGCUAUCCAGCCAAGUGUCAGGAAGGGAUUUUUUCUUCUGUCUCCUUUACUCCUGAGCACCUCACCCCACCAUGUUUUCCUACUCUGAAUCUCGUUUCGAAAUCUCCUGCCCAAGGGGUUUCCCAACGCCUCCCAGCUUUGAAUCAAGCUGCUGUUUACAGCACACCCAGAUCAGGCAGAGAGGCGUCAGCAGGGACCGGAUCUGACACUCUGCCCUGAAGACACUCCUGUGCCCGAGACAGUCACUGGCCUGGUGGCACCUGGACAAACAAAUCUAUUGCCUCCUUAUCUCCCAUGAAACAAGAAACUGAGUAGGCUCCCAGCCUAGAACAAAGACUGGCUGGAAGGCAGAUGCCAGCUCGGCUCUAUUCUUCCCCUGGGGAGACGUGGGGGCUGUAAGCUCGGGUGGGCCCCGCACACAGGCGAUCCUAUCCAAGUAGCCCACUCAAGUCCCUGCCUCCAAGUGUCCAGUCCCUCUCAGGGGGCCAUUCCACAGGGAUAUGCAUCUUAGCUCCCCAGCCGUGGGACUUAAAGGGGUGGCUUUCUAGCUACGGGGAUCCCGCGCCACGAGGAGCCUCGAGAAUGAACACAGAGAAGUGGUUCAGUGGUUUUUUUUGAACAAGUGGAAACAGGCUGUUCUCUGCAUACAAAGGUGACCCACCACUGCCUUGGCAACCUGAGAGCUCUCUGUCCCCAGCAAAGAGGCACAGCCUGUAGUCCCAGCCACGGCUCUGCUUAUUCUCCAGAGGAGCUGAAGGAUCAGCUUGGGGUCGAACUGGCAACCUAGUCGCUGCAUCAUGCUCUCACCAACGAGACAGUUCACCUUGAUGUUUAUUUUAAAAAUCUAUUCAGGAGUUCCCUGGUGGCUCAGCGGGUUAAGGAUCCAGUGUUGUCACUGCUGUGGCUGGAGUUACUGCUGUGGCACAGGUUGGAUCCCUGACCCGGGUUCUACAUGCCACAGGUGCAGCUAAAAAACAAAAACAAAAUCUACUCAAAGCCCCGGUUCUGCCUCUAACUGCCAGAGAGCCAGUCCCUUCAUCCAUGUGAGCAGAGCAAAAUACAGACAUCAAGCCCACCUCCCCAGGCUCUUGUCACCUGCUCAGCCAGGCGAACACGCUGUGGACUGGAACUAAGCCUUUGGUUCUGCUCCUAUCACUGAGGCAAGAAUACACUGAUGCCACGGCGAGCUCCUGAUUUUGGUACUUGGUGUCACUCUUGCCUCACCUGGCUCAGUGCAAAGCCUUCAACUGAUUGGCAGCAGUCACACCUGUGCCCCCUCCCCACCCCUCGCCAAGAGCCAGGGCAGAAGCCCGGCUCUCCCAGAGGGCGGGUAGGUGUCUAGACAGAAGGAUGGCAGAAGUGCCUCGUGCAAAGGGGGCAGGGGAGGAACAGCUCCCUUCCCCUGAGCUCGGCCUGGCUGAGACCUCAGCUCCCAGAAUUAUCAGUUGUUGACCUCACCAACAUUUUCUUAAAAGCCAGAAUUGCUCAGAAAAACAAUCGAACAGCACACACGUGCACACACAAAGAGUCGCUUGACAUCAAAUUGGCACAUUUGGGGGACAGAAACCCAGGGCUAUCCACUCACGGCUGUGGGGCUUACUGCCUCCUUUUCAAAGCAUUGGCCACCGUGCCUUUGUCAAUCCCCAGGGCAGCAGUUGGCCAAUUUUUUUGGAUAAGAACAUCUUUUGGCAACGCAACGAAUGUUCUAUUCCCUUUCGGUUCGUCUAAAUCAUCAUCGCCACUAAACUUCUCCUCCUGUUCAUCCACCAUCUCUCUCAGCCUCUGCUCUGCGUCCCUGUCCUCAGACAACUGCCAGGCUCCUCUCCACCAGGAUUUAAUGAGCUCCCGCUGGACUCUGGGCUCACUUCCGCAACCACCCCCCGCCCCUCCAUCUCUAGAAGAGUCCUAUGUCCUUCAGCCUCUCCUGUGGGUGAUUAACUCUCAUGAACCCAGUGGCUUCUCCGGUGGGGACACGGAACUAACAUCCUUCUCAUAAGAAAUCGAACUCCUUUGCCAGCCACGAGGGAAGGUGGUUCAGGAGAAGCUGAACAGCCCCAGACAGCAGAGGCUUGGUGAAGACACCACCCCAGGAGAGCUGGUGUAGAGAGGUCCGCCUGCCUGGCCAGAUGCCCUGCAGCCAUG
rnacentral:lncRNA from 1 species